CACGAAUGAACUGUGUCACUGUAUAGAGCCAACAAUUGAAAAGGUCAUAUCAACUCCAGAUUACUCAGCCACAGAGAUCAGUGAGUCCAAUGAUGAUCAACAAAAAGUUAUAUUGACUAUCAGGGAUCUGGUUGAGAUAUUACGAGUUUUAAAAGAUGGUAACUUUCAAACUAUCAAAUGGUUUGAUCUUGGUCUCUACUUGGGUCUGAUUCAUGAUGAUCUGAAGAUUAUUGAGGAUAACUAUCCACGAGAUGCUAAGCGAUGUCUCAGAGAAUGUUCAGCAUUAUGGCUCAGAGAUGAUAUUGAAGCAGCAUGGAACAAACUAGCUAUUGCUGCUGGUGAAGUA